GAGGGUAUAGCUCAGUGGUACAGUGCAUGCCUAGCAUGCAUGAGGUCCUGGGUUCAAUCCCCAGUACCUCCA
rnacentral:tRNA from 1 species